UACGUAGGGUGCGAGCGUUGUCCGGAAUUAUUGGGCGUAAAGAGCUCGUAGGCGGUUUGUCGCGUCGUUCGUGAAAACUCCACGCUUAACGUGGAGCGUGCGGGCGAUACGGGCAGACUUGAGUUCGGUAGGGGAGACUGGAAUUCCUGGUGUAGCGGUGAAAUGCGCAGAUAUCAGGAGGAACACCGGUGGCGAAGGCGGGUCUCUGGGCCGAUACUGACGCUGAGACGCGAAAGCGUGGGGAGCGAACAGG
rnacentral:rRNA from 1 species